rnacentral:rRNA from 1 species
AGCGAACGUUAGCGGCGGGCCUAACACGUGCAAGUCGAACGGGCUGUAGCAAUACAGUCAGUGGCGCACGGGUGCGUAACGCGUAGAUAAUCUACCUUCUGGCGGGGGAUAACUGGGGGAAACUCUAGCUAAUACCGCAUAAGACCACGGGGCCCGCGGGUCCUGAGGGAAAAGACGGCCUCUGCAUAUGCUGUCACCAGGAGAUGAGUCUGCGUCCCAUCAGCUAGUUGGUGAGGUAAUGGCUCACCAAGGCGAAGACGGGUAGCUGGUCUGAGAGGAUGAUCAGCCACACUGGCACUGGAACACGGGCCAGACUCCUACGGGAGGCAGCAGUGGGGAAUAUUGGGCAAUGGGCGGAAGCCUGACCCAGCCACGCCGCGUGAGUGAUGAAGGCCUUCGGGUUGUAAAGCUCUGUGGGGAGGGGCGAAAAACUCUGACCUAAUACGUCUGAGGUUGACGGUACCUCCUUAGCAAGCACCGGCUAACUCUGUGCCAGCAGC